GGUUGAUCCUGCCAGUAGUCAUAUGCUUGUCUCAAAGAUUAAGCCAUGCAUGUCUAAGUAUAAAUGUGUAACAGUGAAACUGCGAAUGGCUCAUUAAAUCAGUUAUAGUCUACUUGAAUGAAUAUUACUACUUGGAUAUCCGUGGUAAUUCUAGAGCUAAUACAUGCGUUAAAUCCCGACUUCUGGAAGGGAUGUAUUUAUUAGAUAAAAAACCAACCUGGGUUAAACCAGUUGUUUGGUGAAUCAUAGUAACUUUUCGAAUCGUAUGACUUUAUGUCGACGAUGGUUCAUU
rnacentral:rRNA from 1 species